CCUACGGGGGGCAGCAGUGGGGAAUCUUGCGCAAUGGGCGAAAGCCUGACGCAGCAACGCCGCGUGGGGGAUGAAGGCUCUCGGGUUGUAAACCCCUUUCAGCAGGGACGAUAGUGACGGUACCUGCAGAAGAAGCCCCGGCCAACUACGUGCCAGCAGCCGCGGUAACACGUAGGGGGCAAGCGUUGUCCGGAUUUAUUGGGCGUAAAGAGCUCGUAGGCGGCUCGGUAAGUCGGGUGUGAAAACUCGGGGCUCAACCCCGAGACGCCACUCGAUACUGCCGUGGCUAGAGUCCGGUAGGGGAGCGUGGAAUUCCCGGUGUAGCGGUGAAAUGCGCAGAUAUCGGGAGGAACACCAGUGGCGAAGGCGGCGCUCUGGGCCGGAACUGACGCUGAGGAGCGAAAGCGUGGGGAGCAAACAGGAUUAGAUACCCGAGUAGU
rnacentral:rRNA from 1 species